CGCACCUUGCGCUCCCUGGUAUUCCGGGGAGCACGCCUGUUCGAGUGUCAUGAAAUUCUCAAGCCGGAUGCUUUAUUGCUGUCCUGGCUUGGAUUUGGGCUUUGCUGUGUCCUUGCGGGUAUAGCUGGUCCUAAAUGCAUUAGCUGGUCCUUAUGUGGAUUUGGUUCUACUCGGCGUGAUAAUUAUCUAACGUUGAGGACAUUCCUUCUGGGAUGGCCAGGUCUUGUUUGGACUGCUUCUAAUCGUCUUAGGACAAUUAUUAUUCAAUCUGACCUCGAAUCAGGUGGGACUACCCGCUGAACUUAA
rnacentral:misc_RNA from 1 species